GGUUGGGCAUCACGCUUCAAGGUUUUCCUUCUUAGGGCAGGAAGGA
rnacentral:ncRNA from 1 species